rnacentral:rRNA from 1 species
UACGUAGGGUGCGAGCGUUAAUCGGAAUUACUGGGCGUAAAGCGUGCGCAGGCGGUUUUGUAAGCCAGAUGUGAAAUCCCCGGGCUCAACCUGGGAACGGCAUUUGGGACUGCAAGGCUGGAGUGCGGCAGAGGAGACUGGAAUUCCUGGUGUAGCAGUGAAAUGCGUAGAUAUCAGGAGGAACACCGGUGGCGAAGGCGGGUCUCUGGGCCGAUACUGACGCUGAGGAGCGAAAGCGUGGGGAGCGAACAGG